UACUUGGAUGACUAAGGCAGGAUUGCUCGAGCCUGGGAGGUUGAAGCUGCAGUGUCAUGGUCACAGCUUACUGCAGACUUGACCUCCCAGGCUUAAGCAAUCCUCCUGCUCAAGUG
ensembl:miRNA